UUGAGCAAUGGAGGGACGCAGAAGGAUAGAAGAAGCGUGCGAUUGGUUGUGCACGUCCAAGCAGUUAGGCUGAUAAGUAGGCAAAUCCGCUUAUCGUGAAGGCUGAGCUGUGAUGGGGAAGCUCCUUAUGGAGCGAAGUCUUUGAUUCCCCGCUGCCAAGAAAAGCUUCUAGCGAGAUAAAAGGUGCCUGUACCGCAAACCGACACAGGUAGGCGAGGAGAGAAUCCUAAGGUGUGCGAGAGAACUCUGGUUAAGGAACUCGGCAAAAUGACCCCGUAACUUCGGGAGAAGGGGUGCUUUCUUAACGGAAAGCCGCAGUGAAUAGGCCCAAGCGACUGUUUAGCAAAAACACAGGUCUCUGCGAAGCCGUAAGGCGAAGUAUAGGGGCUGACACCUGCCCGGUGCUGGAAGGUUAAGGAGAGGGGUUAGCGUAAGCGAAGCUCUGAACUGAAGCCCCAGUAAACGGCGGCCGUAACUAUAACGGUCCUAAGGUAGCGAAAUUCCUUGUCGGGUAAGUUCCGACCCGCACGAAAGGUGUAACGAUUUGGGCACUGUCUCAACCAGAGACUCGGUGAAAUUAUAGUACCUGUGAAGAUGCAGGUUACCCGCGACAGGACGGAAAGACCCCGUGGAGCUUUACUGUAGCCUGAUAUUGAAUUUUGGUACAGUUUGUACAGGAUAGGCGGGAGCCAUUGAAACCGGAGCGCUAGCUUCGGUGGAGGCGCUGGUGGGAUACCGCCCUGACUGUAUUGAAAUUCUAACCUACGGGUCUUAUCGACCCGGGAGACAGUGUCAGGUGGGCAGUUUGACUGGGGCGGUCGCCUCCUAAAGUGUAACGGAGGCGCCCAAAGGUUCCCUCAGAAUGGUUGGAAAUCAUUCGUAGAGUGCAAAGGCAUAAGGGAGCUUGACUGCGAGACCUACAAGUCGAGCAGGGACGAAAGUCGGGCUUAGUGAUCCGGUGGUUCCGCAUGGAAGGGCCAUCGCUCAACGGAUAAAAGCUACCCCGGGGAUAACAGGCUUAUCUCCCCCAAGAGUCCACAUCGACGGGGAGGUUUGGCACCUCGAUGUCGGCUCAUCGCAUCCUGGGGCUGUAGUCGGUCCCAAGGGUUGGGCUGUUCGCCCAUUAAAGCGGUACGCGAGCUGGGUUCAGAACGUCGUGAGACAGUUCGGUCCCUAUCCGUCGUGGGCGUAGGAAAUUUGAGAGGAGCUGUCCUUAGUACGAGAGGACCGGGAUGGACGCACCGCUGGUGUACCAGUUGUUCUGCCAAGGGCAUAGCUGGGUAGCUAUGUGCGGAAGGGAUAAGUGCUGAAAGCAUCUAAGCAUGAAGCCCCCCUCAAGAUGAGAUUUCCCAUAGCGUAAGCUAGUAAGAUCCCUGAAAGAUGAUCAGGUUGAUAGGUUCGAGGUGGAAGCAUGGUGACAUGUGGAGCUGACGAAUACUAAUAGAUCGAGGACUUAACCAU
rnacentral:rRNA from 2 species